GUCUGCUAACAAGUUCCACUCAUCCUGCCCCCUCAAGAUUCUUCUCAAAUCCCUUUUCUCUUCUCCCCACACUUUGGCGCUGACCCUUGUUCAGGCCCAGGGAAGGUCCAAGUCUGUGGGUGAGCCUCCAGCUAAAUACAGAUUUGUUCAGAAAACUGAGGGGCUGAGACCACAGCCUGGGGAGUGGGACAUCAGUGACUUCAGCUUGAAGAGAUGAGGAGAGUCAGGCUACCAGUGGCUCUGUCUCUCUGCCAAACAUGUCUUGGUAAAGCGAGGGGCUACACCUGAGCCUCAGAUCUUGUACCAGUUUUAUUCAGAGCAGUAUCACCUUUACCUUUUUUCCAAUUAUCCCCAAUUUCGUUUCAAUUAUCCCUAGACUUUGGACCUGAAGCAAUCAGAGAACAGAUGAGGAUGAACUGUGUGAAGGUAAGUGUGCAGAGGGGACGGUGGAGAGAAGCUGGAGCCCAGGACCUGCCGUCGCCAUGGCAACAGAGGACCGCAGGCUCCACCCACUGGAAAUCUCCUGACUCUUGGAAUGAAAGGCAGAUAAUUCAAGGGUUUAACCUAACGUCUUUGCAAUUUGAGUGAUUAUCUGAGCAACUUGUGAGAGAGUCAAAAUGAGGUCUCCAUGCUCAAUGAGGCAUAUUCUCCAACCACACAUCACCCCAUGAAUACGGGGAGAGAGAGAGAGAAAUAGACUGGGCACCGGAGUCUCCGGACAGGACCAGAAGACAAAAGGACACGUAGGUGGCCAGGGAAAUAGAUCGGCCCCUCAAGAGAGAAACGUGGCUGGAGAUGAAAACUGAAGCCACAGGAAUGGACCGUCCAGGGAAUGAGAAAAGAAGGCAGCCUGGGAAGCAGUUCAUCUCUAUUUGGAUGAAUAAUUGAUUCUAUGCUUAGGUACUGAAGACAUCAAUGGAAAUGUUGAGUUGGAAACUACAGCAACAAGGUAAGUUGGCACAAGAUCCCCACAGUCGUCCAAGUGUCAAUGUGGCAGGGUGCCAGGCUCCCCUUGCCCCUUUGGCUGUCUUCUCAACAAUUUCUAGCUUGGCAAUGUCCUGCCAAAAAGUCUGCCUAGAAGUGAAUACAAUAUCACUGGUAUAGAGGCAAAGACAACCUUCCCCUCUGCCAUUCUAGAUGUUUAUACUCCCAUUAUUGCAGCUCAAACUUGUGCUAAGCUUCCUGGCUACACAUCACACUGAUGACUCAUGGUGGCUUUGCCGCCUGUAUUCAUUUCCUAUGGUUGACAUAAUAAAGUACCACCCUGGUGGUACAACAGGAAUUUAUUCCCUCUCAGUUCUGGAGGCUGGAAACCCAGAAUCAAGGUGUCAGCAGGGCCAUGCUCUCUCUGAAACACGCAGAGGAGAAUCCUUCCUUGUGUCUUCCUAGCUUGGGGUGGUGGCCGCCAAUCCUUGGCAUUCCCUGCCUGACAGCUGCCUCGCUCCGACCUCUGCCCCUGCCAUCAUUUGAUGUUCUCCUGCUGUAUCUGUGUCCAGACUUCCCCCUUCUUAUAAAGAUAUCAUGCAUAUCAGAUUAGGAUCCACCCUAAUAACUUGACCAUAACUUGAUAACAUCUGCACAAAAACCUUAUUUCCAAACUAGGUCUCACUCACAGGUAUGGGGUUAGAACCUGAAUAUACCUUUGUUGGGAGACAAAGUCCAACCUCUAACACCGCCAGAUAAAACCUCCAAACUCUCACUUGCUGCUCUUUCCUUCCUAAGCCUCACUGAUCACCAAGCAUAAGUCUCAGUUUCCCUUGGUGCCGAGAAAGUCAGAGCCAGCGCCCUGGGGAAAGGGCGCCGCUGAGAAUGUGAAAGCCGCAGGGCUUCUUGGGCGGUCGGUCGGGUCUACAACCUCAAAGUGAGGAACCAGAGGAGACGUGGCUCAUUCACACUCUCAGGUUUCUAGCUUCAUACCCUGCCUCUCUCCACCUCCGUCCCAGUCUCUCUUUCUGUGUCUGUCCCUGUGCCUCUCUAUCUCUCCUUUCUCAUCUUUCUCCCCUUCACACAUGGGCUCCAGUGAGCUCAUGCCCGCACACCCUCACACGCGCCACCCUGCCUGUGUCAGCACAGGCACAGAGGAGACAGGCAAGAAGUCAAACAAAGGAAACCCCAAGAGGCAGCUGGACACCCACCACGGUUUGAAUCUACAGGGUCAAGAAAGCACUGGAAACUGGUGAUGAAAGACACUGACACUGCUGCCAGAUGUCCAACAUCAUGACUAAUUGAUCUUUUUCUCAGUUUCAAUGAGGAACGGAGCUUCCAGGAGAAAAAAAAAGGCUCCUAAAAACUGAAUGAGCCCUCAAUUAGUUCUACAGUGUGGGAUUCAUGAUUUUCAAAAACCCAGAGUUGUGCCAGAACACUGAGCAGGUUGCUUAACUCAAAAUAUUGUUCUAGUUCUUGUCCUGUGUUUUGGAGAAAUGGGGAAGUCAGCCAGCGCACUGUUUGGUUGAUGAGAUGUGUGCAGCCCUUUGGUCUAUGAAGCAAGCAAAUCCAACAUUAACACCCCCCAGAAUUACUCAGAGCAUGAGUUCUUGCUUGGAAAAGUAGUAAUAUUUGCUAUAAAUAAAUACAUCUAUUACUUGAUUAUUUCGACUUAGGAAAUGAUUAUUAUUUAAUUAUGUAAUCAGUUAGGCUUAGGAAUAGGCUGUCCCUCAAACUGAAAACCAUCAACAAGGUGGAAAGGCAAAUAUCUCUGAUUCUUCAUUUCUUCCCUAAAUCCAGUUCUGCUGCAAGUCCCGUGAGCUCUUCCUCCACGGUGAGUCCAAAGCUCGUGCGUUUCUUCCCAUCACCCCCACUGCCAGCAGCAUGUCUGAUCCCUCCUCCCAUCCAUGGUGGACGGAUGCAAAAUCUUCGCUGGCUUCCUGCCCCGCCCCUUCAUGCUCCCUUACGCACCAUUAGCCAGGGAGCAGCCAGCACAACAUCUGAAUAAUGUAAAUGAGAUUAUGUUCCACCCAUAAAAUCCUUCAGUUGCUUCCAAUCACCUGUAGGAUAAGAACCAAAUUAACGGUGGCCUGACUGCCUCUACGGCCCUGCUGUUCUCUCUACAACCUCGACAGCCUUCAUUUAGGUCCUGAGGUGCAGCAAGCCUGCUCAGAUGGCAAGUAUUUGCACUUGCUAUUCUUUUUGCCCAGAAAGAUUUUUUCCCUGCUUGACACAUUUCUGGCUCUUUCUCAUGAUUAGUUCUCAGACUGAACACCAGCCACUCAGAGCAGCCUUAUCUCCACAACCCCUACUAACACAAUUUCCCCAUCACCUUGCUUUGUUUUCUUCAAAGCACUCAUAAAAAUCUAAAAUAAUUCAUCUGCUUUCAUGUUUCUCUUCCCUCCAUGAAAGCAGAAAGCCCGUCUAUCUUUUUGAAAUCACUGAACCCCCAGAACCUAGAACAGCAUCAGACCUAUGGUCAAGUACUGAACGUUUGUUGAGUGAAUGAAUGAAAAAGUACUUUAACUUUUAUGGCAGACUGAGGGUUAAUAGCUCCAGUCUGUGGGAAUCUUUAUUAUUUAGCAAGGAAAACAGGAGGAGGCCCAAAGAAGGCUGCAGAAGCUACGAGUCAGGAGCUAAGAAAACAUUCUCAGUCCAGAUAACAAUACUUGGACAGCGGCCUUUUUCUUUCUCUGACAUUGAAUAUCAAGAAGGAUGUUAGGCCAAAGGACAGGCGAUUUGAAUCUGAAGAUGAGAUAGAUAACAAAGAAGAGGUCAAAAAAGAGGGAGACAGGGCUCUGUAGCCAGACUGAGUGAUCCAAGGAGAGGAGCUGUUUCAUUUUCUGACCCCUCCAGCUAGCACUAAUGAGAACAGGAAUAAAUCAGCAUUGUUUGCUUCCUAACACUGACUCAUCUCCUGCUGUUCCCCUUUUCUCCCUCUGUUAUCUUGUUCCUGGAAGAAAUGAGUAAAAUUAAAGUAGAACCAGAAGAGAGAAACAGAAGGAAGUCGGGAGAUUGAGGAGGAGGGAGAAUAUGGCAUGAUACGCAACAGAGUAUCUCUCUGGUAAGGGAUAGAGGGUGUGAUUUUUUAUUUUUCUAAAAUAAACAUGUCACCUGUAUAAUUUAAAAUUUUUUAAACAUAUUUCUGUUUUUAAAUAUUAGUUUAAAAUUUUAUAUUAUAACAAAAAGAAACCCGAUCAUGAAGUACAACCUACGUACUGCGACAUCCCACAGAUGCCGAAUGCCAUCCAUCCCUACGAAUGACCACCUGACCCGGGGCUGCAACGGUGUCGGCACGGUGAUCCCCUUGGUAUCUCCCCAAGUCAGCGUGGGGUUGAUGAAAAGCCAAACGGCCACACAAGCUCAGGGCAGGAGAAAGGAGGACUCGAAAGGCAAGCCAUAGGCAUUUCAUCUACGCCCCCGAGGAGUUCGGAGCAAAGCGGCUGACAGGCUUCCUGCUCGCAGCAGGCACUGACACCGGUUGCCCACAAGGGGGCAGAAGCCAACCAACCGCCAGCUCGGCCCAGGGGGAGCUGCGCGGACGGGGUUUAGUCCUCGCAGCACCACCCGCUCCCGAAGGAGGAAAGGCCCCCAAAGACAAGCCCACCUGGAGGACCAGAGCUGUGACUUUUGAGGUCAGAUUCAGGACCCCCUCGAAUCCUCAGAUCCCAACAGAUCAAGGGAAUCAGACUGUACUUCCUCCUAAAUCUCUGGUCCUCAAACUUAGCUUGACAAAGAGACAGUGCGACACUCACUGAAGAUCAAAUCUGAAUAAUCUCGUCUCCGAGCCCACCUCCGUGGUUUAUUUUCUUUAGCUGUAUUUGUGAACAAUUCCAUGAACACCCACCGCCCCACACGUACACACAUGCACACGUACUCGCCUUUCCCCUGGUUGUGAACCCACGAACACACCAGGCUUGCUUUUUUUUU